GGUUCUAGCCGUGAGGAAAGUGUGUAGAUGGUACAUCAACACAGACAUCCCUCAAAUAAUUGUCCUCCCUGCUAGAGUCGACCAUUGAACCCAACGCAAAUUCUUCGUUGGCUACCAAUAUUGCUCUGCCUCACCAAGUAGGCGAUUAUCUGAGGAAAUCUCUUUCUGAAUUGAUCAACUUCAGUCUCUAGCAUGUGAUUGUUUGGAGAAAAUGAUGGGCUCCUAUUCCUGAACUUACAAUUGUUAUGCACUCAUGUAGUGUAAGGUUGUUUAUAGCCAAUUUCAGUUUGUCCAUUUUGUUGCUUUUGACUGGUAUCACCAUUAUCUGCUAGGUUAAUUAGAUUGAUAUCUUUGAAAUUUUGUAUAGUUCCAGCAUCUAUGUUUAUGAUGUUCUCUUCAUUUUAUGAGCUUAUUAUAUA